GAUGAACGCUGGCGGCGUGCCUAAUACAUGCGAGUCGAGCGAACAGAUGAGGAGCUUGCUCCUCUGACGUUAGCGGCGGACGGGUGAGUAACACGUGGAUAACCUACCUAUAAGACUGGGAUAACUUCGGGAAACCGGAGCUAAUACCGGAUAAUAUAUUGAACCGCAUGGUUCAAUAGUGAAAGACGGUUUUGCUGUCACUUAUAGAUGGAUCCGCGCCGCAUUAGCUAGUUGUAAGGUAACGGCUUACCAAGGCAACGAUGCGUAGCCGACCUGAGAGGGUGAUCGGCCACACUGGAACUGAGACACGGUCCAGACUCCUACGGGAGGCAGCAGUAGGGAAUCUUCCGCAAUGGGCGAAAGCCUGACGGAGCAACGCCGCGUGAGUGAUGAAGGUCUUCGGAUCGUAAAACUCUGUUAUUAGGGAAGAACAAAUGUGUAAGUAACUAUGCACGUCUUGACGGUACCUAAUCAGAAAGCCACGGCUAACUACGUG
rnacentral:rRNA from 1 species